AGUGAACGCUGGCGGUAGGCCUAACACAUGCAAGUCGAACGGCAGCACAGUAAGAGCUUGCUCUUACGGGUGGCGGGUGGCGGACGGGUGAGGAAUACAUCGGAAUCUACUUUUUCGGGGGGGAUAACGUAGGGAAACUUACGCUAAUACCGCAUACGACCUACGGGUGAAAGCAGGGGAACUUCGGACUUGGCGCGAUUGAAUGAGCAGAUGUCGGAUUAGCUAGUUGGCGGGGUAAAGGCCCACCAAGGCGACGAUCCGUAGCUGGUCUGAGAGGAGGGCCGGCCCAACUGGAACUGGGACACGCUCCAGACUCCUACGGGAGCCAGCAGUGGGGAAUAUUGGCCAAUGAGCGCAAUCCUGAUCCAGCCCUCCCGCGUGGUUGAAGAAGGCCUUCGGGUUUUAAAGCCCUUUUGUUGGGAAAGAAAAGCAGCAGGUUAAUACCCCGCUGUUCUGACGGUACCCAAAGAAUAAGCACCGGCUAACUUCGUG
rnacentral:rRNA from 1 species